GGGCCAAGUUUUCCGAGACAAUGGCAAAGAAAAUAGACUGAAAAUCAGAUUAUUGGUGGAAUCGGCAUCAGUAUGUAACUUACACUUAAAAACUGUGAAAUGAAGCAUCCGAAACCUGAACAUCCAUAAGCAAUCACUGCCAUUGCCA
ensembl:ncRNA F22E10.9 ncRNA